rnacentral:antisense_RNA from 1 species
CUUCAGCGAGCCGAGCAGCAGCGGCCGGUCGGCGGGCCGGUCCUGCCCGUACGUGGCCAGCAGGGCCUGUGCCUC